AUUGAACGCUGGCGGCAGGCCUAACACAUGCAAGUCGAGCGAGCGGCGGACGGGUGAGGAAUGUAUGGGAACAGACCGAUAGGGGGGGAACACAACUGGAAACGGCAGCUAAUACAGCAUAAUAUAGGAUUACCAAUAUGGGAUUAGAUAGUAGGUGAGAUAAUGGCCACCCUAGACGACGCACCCUAGCUGGUCUGAGAGGAUGAUCAGCCACACUGGGACUGAGACACGGCCCAGCUGCCUACGGAGGCAUCAGUGGGGAAUAUUGCACAAUGGGCGCAAGCCUGAUGCAGCCAUGCCGCGUGUAUGAAGAAGGCCCUAGGGUUGUAAAGUACUUUCAGUCGGGAGGCGUUACCGACAGAAGAAGCACCGGCUAACUCCGUGCCAGCAGCCGCGGUAAUAC
rnacentral:rRNA from 1 species